rnacentral:lncRNA from 1 species
UAUGUAGUGGCAACCUAAUAGAAUGAAAGUAUGAACCCCCAAGCAUAGUUAUCAUGUGAUUCAAUCCUUCUAUUGUGAGUCUUGACUUAACGGAGGUCAUGGAGAACUCGUCAGACCCAUCAUCAGUCAUAUGCUAGAUUGGCUCGACUCGAGUUUAUUUACAAAUUUUUUAGAAUUUUUUUUCAGUAUUCACACUUGCUUUGGCUAAAGACUUUGUGAACUUAAUUUCACAAAUCACAUAGCACUUUUUCUUUUCUACCA